CCUACGUGAGGCAGCAGUGGGGAAUAUUGGACAAUGGGCGAAAGCCUGAUCCAGCCAUGCCGCGUGUGUGAAGAAGGCCUUCGGGUUGUAAAGCACUUUCAGUGGGGAAGAAAGCCUUGGGGCUAAUACCCUCGAGGAAGGACAUCACCCACAGAAGAAGCACCGGCUAACUCCGUGCCAGCAGCCGCGGUAAUACGGAGGGUGCGAGCGUUAAUCGGAAUUACUGGGCGUAAAGCGCGCGUAGGCGGUCUGAUAAGCCGGUUGUGAAAGCCCCGGGCUCAACCUGGGAACGGCAUCCGGAACUGUCAGGCUAGAGUGCAGGAGAGGAAGGUAGAAUUCCCGGUGUAGCGGGGAAAUGCGUAGAGAUCGGGAGGAAAACCAGUGGCGAAGGCGGCCUUCUGGACUGACACUGACGCUGAGGUGCGAAAGCGUGGGUAGCAAACAGGAUUAAUACCCGAGUAGUC
rnacentral:rRNA from 1 species